AGUAGUCUUGCCUGGGGAACCCCAUGGACAGGGGAGCCUGAUGGACUACAGUCCGUGGGGUUGCAAAGAGUCAGAAGGUGAUGCACACUCUCGGGGGAACAUGAAGCAGGGACAGGGACAUGGAAUACUAGGUGAGGAGGGGAGGUGGAGGGGGGCCUGUGGACACUUGGGGGAAAAGUGUUUCAGACCGGGGGAGCAGCCAGUGCGAAGGCCCUGGGGCAGCAUGAGCUUGGGUCAUUUCAGAGACACAGGGCAGCCAACGUGUCUGGAAGGGUGAGUGGGGAGGGGGCAGGAGGGAGGGGAGGUCCCUCUGAUACGGGGCCUGUGAGCCAAAGGAUGAGCUCAAGCUCGAUCCUCGAACCGCUGGGGAUGUGACUCAGCGAGGGAGCAAGGUGGACUGAUGCACAGUUUUAUGGGACCCGUCUGGCUGAGGGUAGAGAGGGAUGUUCUGGAGGGACGUAAUGCAGACUUCUGUACCUGCGCAGGUGAGAGGUAACAGCUGCAGAGGAGGGAGAAGGAAGGACGUGGAGACCCCUCUAGGUCUCAGGAAGCCCAGCAGGAAGUUGGCAGGCCGGAGGCCCAGCCUGGGAGGCUGACUGGUUUGUCCAGCCUGGAGCCUGUGAUCCCCACCCCUAGCCCGUGCUGACAUGCGGCAGCCCUAGAGCUGGGAAAUGUGCCUGGUGUGUCCGCCACGAGGCCUGGGCCAGACAGCGCCCAUGGGACCUGCCAGGAGGCUAGGCGGGCACCCUGGCCACAGGCCUGCCCACACGUGGAAACUCUCAAGCCCACUGAGUGGGGCGAGUGGUAAUUACAGGGCCUGGAGCAGAGUGGGCGGGGACUGUAGACCAGAGCCUCCCCCACAGCCGGCCCCACUCCUGUUUGCUGAGCACCUAUUAUGCACUGAACCCCCACCACACACCAUCCCAGCCCGCCGGCACCUCAACCGUGUGCCUCUGGGACCUUCACAUGACCCGACUUUCGGACGAGGAAGUUAAGUUGCCCACAGUCCCACGGGAUGAAACAAGACAGGAAGGAGCUGAGAUGUACACCGAGGACCCCAAAUUUGGCCUUCCUUCUUUGUGGCUCCACUAGCAACAAAGUGCUGCAGAGAUCAAGGAGCCCAGAUGCAGCCUCAGUACAGCUCUUCAGCCACUGCCACUCCAAGCCCCUAAGGCCUGAGUCUAGGCAGCGCCCUGGGUUGAGAGGGACCCAUCAGCUCUCAGCCGGAAGUUUCCUCGGCCGCAGGGACCCCACAAGCUGCACCACUGAGGAGCUGCCAAGACUGUUGCCAAGCAUAGUGUUCUGGGACUUCCUUGGUGGUCCAGUGGUUAAGACUCUGCUCUGCCAAUGCAGGGGUCGCGGCUUCGAUCCCUGG